UGUUGCCAUCGAUUCGGUCGGGAACUCAAAGGAGACUGCCGUUGAUAAAGCGGAGGAAGGUGGGGACGACGUCAAGUCAUCAUGGCCCUUACGACCAGGGCUACACACGUGCUACAAUGGCGUAUACAAAGGGAGGCGACCUCGCGAGAGUAAGCGGACCUCAUAAAAUACGUCUAAGUCCGGAUUGGAGUCUGCAACUCGACUCCAUGAAGUCGGAAUCGCUAGUAAUCGUGAAUCAGAAUGUCACGGUGAAUACGUUCCCGGGCCUUGUACACACCGCCCGUCACACCAUGGGAGUGGGUUGCACCAGAAGUAGAUAGCUUAACCUUCGGGAGGGCGUUUACCACGGUGUGGUUCAUGACUGGGGUGAAGUCGUAACAAGGUAACCGUAGGGGAACCUGCGGUUGGAUCACCUCCUUAC
rnacentral:rRNA from 1 species